UACGUAGGGCGCGAGCGUUGUCCGGAAUUAUUGGGCGUAAAGAGCUCGUAGGCGGUUUGUCGCGUCUGCCGUGAAAUCCUCUGGCUUAACUGGGGGCGUGCGGUGGGUACGGGCAGACUGGAGUGCGGUAGGGGAGACUGGAAUUCCUGGUGUAGCGGUGGAAUGCGCAGAUAUCAGGAGGAACACCGGUGGCGAAGGCGGGUCUCUGGCCCUAUACUGACGCUGAGACGCGAGAGCGUGGGUAGCAAACAGG
rnacentral:rRNA from 1 species